rnacentral:rRNA from 1 species
GAUGAACGCUGGCGGCGUGCCUAAUACAUGCAAGUCGAGCGAACAGACGAGGAGCUUGCUCCUCUGACGUUAGCGGCGGACGGGUGAGUAACACGUGGAUAACCUACCUAUAAGACUGGGAUAACUUCGGGACACCGGAGCUAAUACCGGAUAAUAUAUUGAACCGCAUGGUGCAAUAGUGAAAGACGGUUUUGCUGUCACUUAUAGAUGGAUCCGCGCCGCAUUAGCUAGUUGGUAAGGUAACGGCUUACCAAGGCAACGAUGCGUAGCCGACCUGAGAGGGUGAUCGGCCACACUGGAACUGAGACACGGUCCAGACUCCUACGGGAGGCAGCAGUAGGGAAUCUUCCGCAAUGGGCGAAAGCCUGACGGAGCAACGCCGCGUGAGUGAUGAAGGUCUUCGGAUCGUAAAACUCUGUUAUUAGGGAAGAACAAAUGUGUAAGUAACUAUGCACGUCUUGACGGUACCUAAUCAGAAAGCCACGGCUAACUACGUG